rnacentral:rRNA from 1 species
AGAGUUUGAUCCUGGCUCAGGAUGAACGCUAGCGGCAGGCUUAAUACAUGCAAGUCGAGGGGCAGCGGGGUAGCAAUACCGCCGGCGACCGGCAAACGGGUGCGGAACACGUACACAACCUUCCGUUUUAGUGGGGGAUAGCCCAGAGAAAUUUGGAUUAAUACCCCGUAACAUGAUGAUGAGGCAUCUUAUUAUUAUUAUAGUGGCAACACGCUAGAAGACGGGUGUGCGUAUGAUUAGGUAGUUGGCGGGGUAACGGCCCACCAAGCCUUCGAUCAUUAACUGGUGUGAGAGCACGACCAGUCACACGGGCACUGAGACACGGGCCCGACUCCUACGGGAGGCAGCAGUAAGGAAUAUUGGUCAAUGGAGGAAACUCUGAACCAGCCAUGCCGCGUGGAGGAUGAAGGUCCUCUGGAUUGUAAACUUCUUUUAUAUGGGACGAAAAAGGGACUUUCUAGUUCAACUGACGGUACCAUAUGAAUAAGCACCGGCUAACUCCGUG